GUCCCGACCGUAAACGAUGGAUACUAAGUGCUGGCAAAACCAGUGCUGCAGCUAACGCGUUAAGUAUCCCGCCUGGGGAGUAUGCUCGCAAGAGUGAAACUCAAAGGAAUUGACGGGAACUGGCACAAGCGGUGGAUUAUGCGGUUUAAUUCGAUGAUACACGAAGAACCUUACCAGGGAUUGACAUGCUCAGAACUUUCGAGAGAUUGAAAGGUGCCCUUGUUUUAACAGCGGAGCUGAGACACAGGUGGUGCAUGGCUGUCGU
rnacentral:rRNA from 1 species